GGGCGAUUAGCUCAGCGGGAGAGCACUUCGUUCACACCGACGGGGUCACUGCCUCGAUCCCAGUAUGGCCCCCCG
rnacentral:tRNA from 1 species